GCAUCUCCGACACGGCAACAACUGUAGCACACUAUUCGUCACCAACUGUAUUCUUAAUCGUAUUAUCAGUUCGCAAUCAUGGUUGAUUAUGGCGUCGUGCUUCCGUUGGGUGUUGUAUCAUUGAUAGCUGGGUCGACCACCGGUGUACUGAUGACUCCUGGGUAUGGCGGAUAUCAAACUGCAACGCCGCCUUAACUACACAAGUAGUUACUACUACGAGCCCCCCAAGUACUACACCACCAAGGCUCCAUAUUAUUACACCACAACUCUGCUGUCCUGAGUUACUACACCGAAUCUCCGCAGUAUUAUUCUUCCUCGAGCCACACUACCAAAGAGUCGAGUACUACACUAAGGCACCGGAGUACUGCACCAACAAGGCGCCGGAGUACUACACAACUAUGUAUACUGCCCCAGCUUACUACACCGAGGCUCCCAAGUACUACACUACCCAGGACCGGGGUACUGCUCACCUACAUAUCAUGGACGUAUAAAAGGAGAGAAAAGGCAAUAGAAAUCAGUCGAUUGGUCAUCUCAUCUCCGACACGGCAACAACUGCAGUGAAUGCACUGCAGACUAUUCGUCAUCAACUGCAUUCUUCAUCGUACUAUCACUUCACAAUCAUGGUUAACUAUAGCGUUGUGCUGCUGUUGCAUGUCAUAUCGUUUAUGGUUGGAUCGACGGGUAUGACGAUUUCUCCUGGGUAUGACGAGCAUCAACAAAAACAUGCGCAACAACCUGUAACUACACAGAGGCCCCCAGGUACUACACCACCAGGGCUCCAGAAGAUUACACCACAAUUUAUGCUGCCCCGAGCUUCUACGCUGAAUGCCCGCAGUAUUAUUCUUCCCC